GUGGACGCCAGUCUGCGUGGAGCCGACCUUGAAAUACCACCCUUUAAUGUUUGAUGUUCUAACGUGGACCCGUUACCCGGGUUGCGGACAGUGUCUGGUGGGUAGUUUGACUGGGGCGGUCUCCUCCUAAAGAGUAACGGAGGAGCACGAAGGUUGGCUAAUCCUGGUCGGACAUCAGGAGGUUAGUGCAAUGGCAUAAGCCAGCUUGACUGCGAGCGUGACGGCGCGAGCAGGUGCGAAAGCAGGUCAUAGUGAUCCGGUGGUUCUGAAUGGAAGGGCCAUCGCUCAACGGAUAAAAGGUACUCCGGGGAUAACAGGCUGAUACCGCCCAAGAGUUCAUAUCGACGGCGGUGUUUGGCACCUCGAUGUCGGCUCAUCACAUCCUGGGGCUGAAGUAGGUCCCAAGGGUAUGGCUGUUCGCCAUUUAAAGUGGUACGCGAGCUGGGUUUAGAACGUCGUGAGACAGUUCGGUCCCUAUCUGCCGUGGGCGCUGGAGAACUGAGGGGGGCUGCUCCUAGUACGAGAGGACCGGAGUGGACGCAUCACUGGUGUUCGGGUUGUCAUGCCAAUGGCACUGCCCGGUAGCUAAAUGCGGAAGAGAUAAGUGCUGAAAGCAUCUAAGCACGAAACUUGCCCCGAGAUGAGUUCUCCCUGAGACUUAG
rnacentral:rRNA from 1 species